rnacentral:tRNA from 1 species
GAGCAAUUAGCUCAGCUGGUAGAGCAUCUGACUUUUAAUCAGAGGGUCAGAGGUUCGAAUCCUCUAUGGCUCA